UUCCAGUAUGGAAGCUGAGUACAUGUCAAUGGCAGAGGCAUGCAAAGAAUUAAUGUAUUUGAGAGUAUUGUUGUCUGAAGUCACUAAUCAAGAUGUAUGUCCUAUUACCUUAUACAAUGAUAGCCAGAGUGCUCAAAAAUUUGUUGUUAAUCAUGCUUUGAAUAGGAAAAGUAAACAUAUAGAUAUCCGUUAUCAUUUCCUAAGAGAUGCUGUUAGUAGUAAUAUUAUGAAUAUUGAAUAUGUGUGUACUAAUGAUACACACCAUGCCAGCUGAUGUUCUCACAAAGGCACUCGGUGUGACAAAGCAUUACCAAUGCAUUGAAGCUUUAGGAAUUGUUAAUUUGUAAAGAGUUGUUAAUUUGUAAAGAGUUGUUAAUUUGUAAAGUAAGUUUCAUGUGAUGUAGUGGGGGUGUUAUAAUAAUACAUCAAAUGAAACAAAUGGUGCCAUCUAUUGGCGAUGUUGUAGAGUAAUUGAAUAUUGAUUGUAAUCUGUUGAUUUGAUUGAAUGAUUUGCUUUUGUAACUCUUUCCUUUAAUUGUAAAAAGUAGUUCGCUGUUCGCCACCAUUGUGUAAACUUGUCGUCAUUAUUAAAUUAUAAUUAUUAAAGAUAUUACGAAAAA